CAAAUGAAUUGACGGGGCCCGCACAAGCGGUGGAGCAUGUGGUUAAUUCGAUGCAACGCGAAGAACCUUACCUGGGCUUGACAUCCCAAGAAUCCCCUGGAAACAGGGGAGUGCCCUUCGGGGAGCUUGGAGACAGGUGCUGCAUGGCUGUCGUCAGCUCGUGUCGUGAGAUGUUGGGUUAAGUCCCGCAACGAGCGCAACCCUUGUCUUUAAUUGCCAUCAUUAAGUUGGGCACUUUAAAGAGACUGCCGGUGUUAAGCCGGAGGAAGUGGGGAUGACGUCAAGUCCUCAUGGCCCUUAUGACCAGGGCUACACACGUGCUACAAUGGCCGGUACAAAGAGUUGCGAGACCGCGAGGUGGAGCCAAUCUCAGAAAGCCGGUCUCAGUUCGGAUUAGAGUCUGCAACUCGACUCUAUGAAGUUGGAAUCGCUAGUAAUCGCGGAUCAGCACGCCGCGUCGAUACGUUCCGGCCUU
rnacentral:rRNA from 1 species